GACAGUUGCAGAGCGCACCAGAGGCAGGGAGGAGGCAGCGAAGGAGCAACUCUCCUCCAGAGUCUCCAUCCCAGAGAAGACAGACAGGAAGAAGACGGGGAGAAGUCGACAGUCCUGCCUCACCGGCGCAUCCCAGCAGCUCCUGAAGUUAAAACCAAAGCGUCCACUGUGAGGUCAAGAGGACAUGAAGACUGUUAGCUGUGAGAAGAAUACAGAGGGUCCUCCAGGAGUCGAUGCGGUUGCCUGCGUCGCCAGGAACCUGAACGCUGCCUCACCUGACACAAGGAUGCGUUUCACAUAACACAUGAAAAAACACACACACACACUGACAUAAACUCUUGCUUGUCGUACUUCCUUCCACCUAAGCCUCUGCUGGAUGCUUGUAGUACUUUGUCAUCGUAUCAGCAAAUAGGCUAAAGAACAUGCAAGUCUAAUUAAUUACUAAAUAAACUUGCUACAACUAUUAUUCAGAGCAAUUAAUUGCAGGAAGUAGUAUUCAGAAGUGUUAAGCAGUACCAUAAUGUCAAAACAAGAAAACAACCAUUCUGUCCAGUACAAGUCUACUUAAGUGUAGCGUUUUAAUGUUGUAGCUGGUGGCGUUGAUUCUAACUACAUUGUUAACUGUCAGGAAGUUUAAUCAACAACAAUGCAUUGUUUAUCAUAUCAGAUCAUAUGUUUCAUGUCUAGCAUCUUAAGAUGUAAAGUAAUCUAGUUGAUAUUGGAAUAAAAAAUACAUUAUAUUACUCUGAAAUGUUGUAAACUCCAAGAAUAAUGUGG